AGAGUUUGAUCCUGGCUCAGGACGAACGCUGGCGGCGUGCCUAAUACAUGCAAGUCGUACGCUUCUUUUUCCACCGGAGCUUGCUCCACCGGAAAAAGAAGAGUGGCGAACGGGUGAGUAACACGUGGGUAACCUGCCCAUCAGAAGGGGAUAACACUUGGAAACAGGUGCUAAUACCGUAUAACAAUCGAAACCGCAUGGUUUUGAUUUGAAAGGCGCUUUCGGGUGUCGCUGAUGGAUGGACCCGCGGUGCAUUAGCUAGUUGGUGAGGUAACGGCUCACCAAGGCCACGAUGCAUAGCCGACCUGAGAGGGUGAUCGGCCACAUUGGGACUGAGACACGGCCCAAACUCCUACGGGAGGCAGCAGUAGGGAAUCUUCGGCAAUGGACGAAAGUCUGACCGAGCAACGCCGCGUGAGUGAAGAAGGUUUUCGGAUCGUAAAACUCUGUUGUUAGAGAAGAACAAGGAUGAGAGUAACUGUUCAUCCCUUGACGGUAUCUAACCAGAAAGCCACGGCUAACUACGUGCCAGCAGCCGCGGUAAUACGUAGGUGGCAAGCGUUGUCCGGAUUUAUUGGGCGUAAAGCGAGCGCAGGCGGUUUCUUAAGUCUGAUGUGAAAGCCCCCGGCUCAACCGGGGAGGGUCAUUGGAAACUGGGAGACUUGAGUGCAGAAGAGGAGAGUGGAAUUCCAUGUGUAGCGGUGAAAUGCGUAGAUAUAUGGAGGAACACCAGUGGCGAAGGCGGCUCUCUGGUCUGUAACUGACGCUGAGGCUCGAAAGCGUGGGGAGCAAACAGGAUUAGAUACCCUGGUAGUCCACGCCGUAAACGAUGAGUGCUAAGUGUUGGAGGGUUUCCGCCCUUCAGUGCUGCAGCUAACGCAUUAAGCACUCCGCCUGGGGAGUACGACCGCAAGGUUGAAACUCAAAGGAAUUGACGGGGGCCCGCACAAGCGGUGGAGCAUGUGGUUUAAUUCGAAGCAACGCGAAGAACCUUACCAGGUCUUGACAUCCUUUGACCACUCUAGAGAUAGAGCUUCCCCUUCGGGGGCAAAGUGACAGGUGGUGCAUGGUUGUCGUCAGCUCGUGUCGUGAGAUGUUGGGUUAAGUCCCGCAACGAGCGCAACCCUUAUUGUUAGUUGCCAUCAUUCAGUUGGGCACUCUAGCAAGACUGCCGGUGACAAACCGGAGGAAGGUGGGGAUGACGUCAAAUCAUCAUGCCCCUUAUGACCUGGGCUACAC
rnacentral:rRNA from 1 species